AGAAAUGAGGACUAUCAAUCGUCCACUAGGCUUCCUCAAGCAUAGGAAGAAAGACUGACUGCAGGAAGACUGUUAACAUGGAUAGAGAAGUUAUGAUGAUGCAAUGGAUGCAGAACUUACGUUGAUGUGAAUACAGUUGAUGUGAGACGUUCACACAGAAUGUCCUCACCACCCUUCCACCUAGACUCAAGAGGAAUUCCUCUCCAUGAGAUUGCAAACAGAUGUGCAGAUACAACCUUCCAAGAGUAUCACAGCUGUGGCCACUCUGCGUCGAACAACAAUCAUAUCUACACAGUUACGAGUUGAAGUUACUGAUCAGGCUCCCGGAAGCUUAAAGCCCCUUGGAAUCAGUACUCA